GUCCUAUAAUGAGCCCGCUCGUGGCCACGCCGCCCCGGAGAAAUGCGUGCCGGCUAAAGCAGGAUGGAUCCGUACGAGUGGCAGCACGCCAGGGACAGAGGUCACCACCGCUAUGACAACGACGACGAGGACAUAGAGGCGCUGUACAUUGGCGUUCCGGCGUCUCACCGGCGGAAGGGACGGCGCCGCCGCUCGUCCAACCGCCAGCAUGACGAGGCCGAUCGCGCCGCUCGACACUCGCACUAUGAGCAUCACGCCUGCCAACACGCCCGCCGAGGAUUCUACCAGGACAGCGACGAACGCGAUGACGCAGACGACUGCGCUCGGAUUCUGGACCGCAUCGACUCCUCAGUGUCGCCGGUGGCAGAGCGUCUACGUCACAUCCUGGGGGAGGACGACGGGGGGCCCACGCCGACCAUCUUCACUGAGAUGGACACCCUGCAGCAGGAGGGCGGAGAGCUCGAGUGGAAGGAGUCGGCCAGGUGGGUGAAGUUCGAGGAGAAGGUGGAGGAGGGCGGCGAGCGCUGGAGCAAACCUCAUGUGUCCACGCUGACGCUGCACAGCCUUUUUGAGCUGCGCACGUGUCUGCAGACCGGAAACAUCCUUCUGGACCUGGAGGCUUACUCGCUCGCGCAGAUUGUCGACGAGAUGGUGGCGCGUCAGAUGGCGGACGGUUUGUUCUCGGAGGACGUGAAGGAGAAGAUCGUCUUCGUGUUGCUGCGUAGACAUCGCCAUCAGACCAAGAAGCCCAUCCAUCGCUCGCUGGCCGACAUCGGAAAGUCGUCAUCGUCGUCCGCCGCAACCGCCAACCGUAGUCCUCAGGCCAACCUGAGUUGUAGCACUACCUCCGCCUCCGCCCAACAUCGCUCCACCGAUGACCUGCGAACGCGACACUCCGGCAGCCUGGGACGCCUGCAUCAUGCGCAGAGUCGCAGCAUGAACGACAUUUCUGAGACGCCCAGCUCUGACCAGCUGAAGAACAAAUUCAUGAAGAAGAUUCCACGCGAUGCCGAGGCGUCCAACGUGCUGAUCGGCGAGGUGGACUUUCUGGACAAACCCUUCGUCUCCUUCGUGCGAUUGGCUCAGGCUACGACGCUUGGGGGCCUCACUGAAGUCCCAGUUCCCACCAGGUUCCUCUUCAUCCUGUUGGGUCCUCAUGGCAAGACCAGGUCAUACAACGAGAUCGGCCGCGCCAUCGCCACACUGAUGGUGGACGACCUGUUCAGCGACGUGGCCUACAAAGCAAGGGACCGUGAGGACCUGAUUGCCGGCGUGGAUGAGUUCCUGGACGAGGUCAUCGUCCUCCCUCCAGGAGAAUGGGACCCCAAGAUCCGCAUCGAACCCCCCAAGAAGGUUCCGUCGGCAGAUAUGAGGAAGUCUGUGCUGAACCUGAACGAGCUUGCCCAGAUGAAUGGCUCGGCUGGGGGGUUGGCCGGCGGGGAAGAUGAGCAAAUUCCUGUGCAACAUGAGGUUGGCGAGGAGCUCAAGUUCACCGGCAGGCUUGGCGGCGGCCUGUGGUUGGACAUCAAGAGGAAAAUGCCGUGGUACUGCAGCGACAUCUAUGACGGCUUCCACAUCCAGACUGUCUCGGCUGUGCUCUUCAUCUACUUGGGCUGCAUCACCAAUGCCAUCACCUUCGGCGGCCUGCUGGGCGACGCCACCGACAACUACCAGGGUGUGAUAGAGAGCUUUCUGGGCACGGCGCUGGCAGGAACCGUAUUCUGCUUGUUUGGCGGGCAGCCGCUCAUCAUCCUGAGCUCCACGGGACCCAUUCUCAUCUUUGAAAAACUCCUCUACGAGUUCUGCAAGAACAACGGCGUGGACUACAUGGAGUUACGGCUGUGGAUCGGGAUCCACUCGUGUCUACAGUGCUUCAUCUUGGUGCUGACGGACGCCAGCUACAUCAUCCAGUACAUGACCCGCUUCACGGAGGAAGGCUUCUCCAGCCUCAUCUCCUUCAUCUUCAUCUCGGACGCCAUCAAAAAGAUGGUGGGCGCCUUCAAGUAUUACCCCAUCAACCGCGCCUUCAAGCCCGACUACAUGACGUCCUACAAGUGCGACUGCGUCCCUCCAGACCAGCCUUUCCCGUGGAACGUUUCAGCUCCUCUUGCUGACGACAACAUGUCGCUUCUGUUCAAUGUGAGCGAUGUGGACUGGAGUCAGUUGAGCAAGAAGGAGUGCGUCAAGUAUGGCGGGGCCCUGGUGGGCAAAGCGUGCAAGUACGUCCCCGACCUGGCACUCAUGUCCUUCAUCCUGUUCUUUGGCACGUACUCCACGACUGUCACGCUCAAGAAGUUCAAGUUUAGUCGCUACUUCCCCACCAAGCUGCGUCAGCUAAUCAGCGACUUUUCCAUCAUUAUCGCCAUCCUGCUCUUCUGCGGAUUGGACUUGCUGCUGGGACUGGACACUCCCAAACUGCAUGUUCCCAUGCACAUUAAGCUAAGGAAGCUAAUCAGUGAUUUUGCCAUCUUCAUGUCAAUCAUGUCCUUUGUGGCGCUGGAUAUGUUGAUGGGUUUAGACACGCCCAAACUGAUCGUUCCCACUGAGUUGAAGCCCACCCGCGCCGACCGCGGCUGGCUGGUGAUGCCGUUCGGUAAGAACCCGUGGUGGUGGUACCUGGCCAGCUUCGUGCCGGCCCUGCUGGUCACCAUCCUGAUCUUCAUGGACCAGCAGAUCAGCGCCGUCAUCGUCAACCGCAAGGAGAACAAACUUAAGAAAGCUUGCGGGUACCACCUGGACCUGUUCUGGGUGGGCAUGCUGAUGGCGGUGUGCUCCUUCAUGGGUCUGCCCUGGUACGUGGCCGCCACAGUCAUCUCUAUCGCGCACAUCGACUCGCUCAAGAUGGAGAGCGAGUCCAGCGCCCCCGGGGAGCAGCCCCAGUUCCUGGGGGUCCGCGAGCAGAGGCUGACCGGAAUACUCGUCUUCGUCCUCACUGGACUUUCCGUCUUCCUUGCUCCCGUCCUGCAGUACAUCCCCAUGCCGGUGCUCUAUGGCAUCUUCCUGUACAUGGGCGUCGCCUCGCUGAGCGGCAUCCAGUUCUGGGAGCGCAUCAAGUUGUACCUGAUGGCGCCCAAGCACCAGCCGGACUUCGCCUUCCUGCGUCACGUCCCUCUGCGCCGAGUCCACCUCUUCACCCUGGUACAGAUCACCUGCCUGGCCGUCCUCUGGGUCCUAAAGUCCACCUUCCUGGCAAUCAUCUUCCCAGUGAUGAUCCUGGGUCUGAUGGUCGUGCGGAAGCUUCUAGAUCUGAUGUUCUCCCAGCACGACCUGGCCUGGCUGGACGACAUCCUGCCCGACAGAGAGAAGAAGAAGAACGAAGAUGACAAGAAGAAAAAGAAAAAGAAGAAGACGGUGGCCGAUACAGAGAGCGACGAGGAGUGUUGCUGACGUUAACGCUUCCUGCAUUUUCUUCUUGAAUUACUUCGUCUUCUUGUUCCUGCUCGGCGGCUUCCUGUCACUAACAACAACAACACUACAAUGACAACACAACAACAAUACAACAAUCACAACACAACUACACUAAACCAUAAAUAACACAUUAACAACAACGCAGCAACACAACAACAGAACAAUCACAACAACAAUAAAAUUACAACACAAUGACAACACAACAACAAUGACAAACAACGCAACAAAUUGUAAAUGGACUGCACUUAUAUCGUGCUUUAUCUACACCAUCACAGUGCCCAAAGUGCUUUACAAAGCCUCACAUUCACCCAUUCACGCAUACAUUCUACACCACCACCAACAACAACACACAAAUGACAAGAAGAACCGAGUCCUUGCCAAAGUCCCGCGUUCAGAUGAUGGACGGCACUAUUCAAACGAACGUCUAGGUUGGCUUACCUGAAUCCAGCAUGUUGACUCCUCCCUCUUUGUGUGGCCACACCCCCUCAGAUCCCCAUGGAGCUCGACUCCGCCCAUGCCAAUUGUCCCGCCCCCGCCUCUGCCUGAGAUGUACUCCUCUUGGAGUUUGGCGUGCAACGAUCAGAAAACUCGUAAGGUACGGCACGUUGAACCUACAGCCUCUUAAUGUUUCCUCCCGACUUGGUGGCGGCGGCGUGCCGGAACAACAACAGCAACUGCACAACCGCCAGCGCCACGCCAACACACGCACGCUAGCAUCACUUUUAGUUUCAAAUGUAUAGCGUGGGUACAUGUACCCGCCAGCUCGCUUUUUCCUUUUGCAGACAUUUCGAUCAUUCGGCGUUCCUCGUUAACCAUGGGGACCACGUCUCGGCUUCAUGUUUUGUAUGAAAUAUAAAAAGAUGAAAUAAAGCAGGGAUGCAUAAACAAUGACUUAUUAACAUGACAUUCAGACAUAAGUUAUUUAGUGACAAGUUGUUCAUUUUGUAUGAAAUGUAAAGACAGCAAAUAAAGCAGGGUAGAUGUUAUCUCGUCAUUAGUCAUUUUUUCAUGUCGUUCAUGUAAUUUUUAUUCUUGACAGAUGGAUGUAGUCAUGUAAUUUAUUCGUAAGUAAUUUACUCAUAAAUGUCAUAACUCAUAAUGACUUAUCAUUUAUUCAUGGGUCAUUUAUUCCUAAAUUGUUUAUUAAUUCAUAAGCCAGUGAUUCAUUAUGUUGUAUCUUCAUAUUGUAUAUAGUUGUAUGAAAAUGUAAAAAAAUUGACAUUUUUAUAUAAAAAUGUAAAGGCUGUCGACCAGUUCAGGGUGUACCCCGCCUCUCGCCCGAAGAUAGCUGGGAUAGGCUCCAGCACGCCCGCGACCCUAGUGAGGAGAAGCGGUACAGGAAAUGGAUGGAUGGAUGGAUAAAAAUGUAAAAUAA